AAAAGCAAACCACAAAGGAUAAACUUAAUAAUAUUCUAACUGUAUAAUUCGUAUAAAAUUUUGGACUAUUUCGGCUAAUAACAAUUUCAUAAUAAAACUUGGAUAGAAGUUCUAAGUGUUUAAAGGAUGUUAAACCAAGUUUUGUAAAUCCUACUUUGUCUUCAAAAAAUUCUAAUAAAUUAUAAAAUCUGAUAUCCUAAAUCUUUGACAUUCCAUUUUUGAUAAAUUUCCAAUUAAAUACCAACAAUUAGUUUUUUAGUGCUUUUGAUAUAGGCAGUGGUGUAUGUUUUAAAUUAUUGAUCUAGCUUCACUUAUGUAUUUGUCAAAAUUGCAAUCAAAUGUUAUCUACAAAAAUGUGUUUUCCACCUUUUUAUAUUCAUAUUUUUAUUUCUAAAUUACAUAUAUAAACGUGCCACAUUUUCUAAAACUAGAGGAAAAUCAACUGCAGAAACCGGUUUAAAUAUACCUAAGGCACAAGCUUGCUGAUAACAGGCACAAAAAAUGAGAUGAUCUCAUUUAUUCUCGGCUUUUUUACUUUCACUAUCAAACGUCCUAGCUCAAGGUUAUCCUUGUAUGAGUUAUGUCGGCCAGUAAAUACGUAUAUUGUGAACAGUUUGUCAGUGUUGUUUUCGUCCUUUAAAAUGUAAGUAACGCGAUGUGGUUGUAGUUUGCGAGUUUGUGGAUGCUUUUUGGCCUUCAAAAUGUUUUUUUGGAAAAAGAAGAAUGCCAGAAAGGUGUGCUAAUAAAAGAUUCACAAGAUGGUAUCCUAAGCAUGCCCAGUAAAUAAAAAAUGAACUAAAGAAACGAAGUCACCGUCAUUUACCACAAGAAAAUUUACUGAGAGGUUUCUUGUUUCACUUCAUCCACCCUUAAUCCAUACGAGAAGAUGUGUCACGGAGCAUUCGUCAUUUCAGUCCUUUUUUGUUCAGAGAUGUAGCGGCGGCGUUGAAGUGCCUUUUUUUGAUUGGGUACAUAUGCAGUGUUGCUGUUGCUAACGAAUGGAUUCACGAUAGAGAAUUGCCAACAAAUGAGAAAGAAUUGAAGUUAACUUUGAUGAUACCGAAACAACCAAUGCCUACAAUGUUUUCUCUGGACUUGAUUUUUGAUUCUUGAUUGGCUGUUGAAGUCUUCACCUUGCAACAUUAUGUAGUCAAUUUUCAACUGAUGAGCGAGAGCAGCUGUAGAUUUGCUUGAAUUCGAUUGAAACAAGCUUUCUGCUGUGGCAUUCCUCCUAGAAUAAAACUGGAUCACUGUACCUCCAGAUUACCCAAUAAAUGAGAGAUAAUUAAAGUUGCGGUUUAUCGUACUGAAACAGCCAAUGUCUACAAUGGUGUUGUUAUUCCUGGACAAUUUUUUCGUCUUCACCUAGGAACAUUCUGCAAUUAAUUUUCAACAGACGAAUGAGAGCAAGAGGAGAUUUAUUUGCAUUCCACUGAAACAACAAGUUUUCUGUUUUCACACCAGCAAACUUUGGAACGUUACAGGCUACAGUUAAUUAAGAUCGACGGUGGAGAAGACAAAGAAGACCCCGUAGUUGAAAUAGUUCUUUAUCUUGCAUGUUCUAUCUAAUAGAAUUAAUUCUUUAAGUCGAUAUUAUUCAAAUUAAUUUUUUAUUUUG
rnacentral:lncRNA from 1 species